rnacentral:misc_RNA from 1 species
GAUGAAGAACGUAGCGAAAUGCGAUACUUGGUGUGAAUUGCAGAAUCCCGUGAACCAUCGAGUCUUUGAACGCAAGUUGCGCCCGAAGCCACUAGGCCGAGGGCACGCCUGCCUGGGCGUCACACGUCGUUGCCCCCCCAUCUACUCCUUCGGGAUUGCGGGGGGGCGGAUGAUGGCCUCCCGUGCGCCUAGCCGCGCGGUUGGCAUAAAUACCAAGUCCUCGGCGACGCACGCCACGACAAUCGGUGGUUGCGAAACCUCGGUUGCCCGUCGUGUGCGUUCGUCGCGCAUCGAGGGCUCGAAAAAAUGCUCGGCUCCGGCUGGGCUUUCAACGCGACCCCAGGUCAGGCGGGGUUAGCCGCUGAAUUUAAGCAUAUCAAUAAGCGGAGGA